UGGGGAAUAUUGGACAAUGGGGGCAACCCUGAUCCAGCAAUGCCGCGUGAGUGAUGAAGGCCUUCGGGUUGUAAAGCUCUUUCACCCGCGACGAUGAUGACGGUAGCGGGAGAAGAAGCCCCGGCUAACUUCGUGCCAGCAGCCGCGGUAAUACGAAGGGGGCGAGCGUUGUUCGGAAUCACUGGGCGUAAAGGGCGCGUAGGCGGCGGAUCAAGUCAGGCGUGAAAGCCCCGGGCUCAACCUGGGAGGUGCGCUUGGGACUGGUCUGCUUGAGUUCGGGAGAGGAGCGUGGAAUUCCCAGUGUAGAGGUGAGAUUCGUAGAUAUUGGGAAGAACACCGGUGGCGAAGGCGGCGCUCUGGACCGAGACUGACGCUGAGGCGCGAAAGCGUGGGGAGCAAACAG
rnacentral:rRNA from 1 species